rnacentral:rRNA from 1 species
CAGAACGAACGCUGGCGGCGUGCUAACACAUGCAAGUCGAACGCGAAAGGGACUUCGGUCCUGAGUAAAGUGGCGCACGGGUGAGUAACGCGUAGAUAACCUGUCUUCAUGUCUGGAAUAAUACGCCGAAAGGGGUACUAAUACCGGAUAUUCUUGCUUUUCAUAAGUUAUGCAAGCAAAGGUGGCCUCUGCAUAUGCUACUGCAUGAAGAGGGGUCUGCGUACCAUUAGCUAGUAGGUGGGGUAAUGGCCUACCUAGGCGACGAUGGUUAGCGGGUCUGAGAGGAUGAUCCGCCACACUGGCACUGGAACACGGGCCAGACUCCUACGGGAGGCAGCAGUGAGGAAUAUUGCGCAAUGGGGGAAACCCUGACGCAGCGACGCCGCGUGAGUGAGGAAGGCCUUCGGGUCGUAAAGCUCUGUCAAGAGGAAAGAAGUGUACAAUGGCUAAUACCCGUUGUAUUUGACGGUACCUCUAAAGGAAGCACCGGCUAACUCCGUGCCAGCCGCAGC